GCCCCAGUGGCACAACAGGCGAGUGCGUUUGGCUGUUACCAGAAGGCUGGUGGUUCAAGUCCACCCCAGGAUU